rnacentral:rRNA from 1 species
CCGCGGUCAAAAGGGGAACACCCCAGAUCGUCUGCUAAGGUCCCCAAGUACGCGUUAAGUGGGAAAGGAUGUUGGAUUGCACAGACAACCAGGAUGUUGGCUUAGAAGCAGCCACACAUUCAAAGAGUGCGUAAUAGCUCACUGGUCGAGUGAUCCAGCGCCGAAAAUGUAACGGGGCUAAAACGCGACACCGAAGCAGCGGGAUGCGUAAGCAUCGGUAGAGGAGCAUUGUGUGAGGAUAGAAGCCAGAGCGGGAGCACUGGUGGACUUCACAGAAGAGAGAAUGCCGGUAUGAGUAGCGAGACCCAUGCGAGAAACAUGGGCGUCGAAGGCCCAAGGUUUCCUGGGGAAGGUUCAUCCACCCAGGGUAAGUCGGGACCUAAGCCGAGGACUGAGGUCGUAGGCGAUGGACAGCAGGUAGAGAUUCCUGCACCACUUACACUUGUUUGACGAAGCAGUGACACAGAAGGAUAGGACGAGCGCGGUGAUGGUCAACCGCGUAGGCGGCACGAGGCCGGGAAGCAGUGAAGUACACUUCCCGCAAAGGCUGAGUGUUGACAGGACCGAAAAGAAGUAGGGAAGCGUCCGAGUUCACGCUGGCGAGAAAAGCUGCUAAGGAGAGUGUGAGUGCCCGUACCGGAAACCGACGCAGGUGGGCGAGGAGAGAAUCCUGAGACGGACGGGAGAACUCUUGUUAAGGAACUCGGCAAAAUGACCCCGUAACUUCGGGAGAAGGGGUGCCUCGAAAGAGGCCGCAGAGAAUAGUCACAAGCGACUGUUUAGCAAAAACACAGGUAUCUGCGAAAGCGAGAGCUGACGUAUAGGUGCUGACGCCUGCCCGGUGCUGGAAGGUUAAGGGGAAGUGUUAGGGGAAACCCGAAGCAGAGAACCGAAGCCCCAGUAAACGGCGGCCGUAACUAUAACGGUCCUAAGGUAGCGAAAUUCCUUGUCGGGUAAGUUCCGACCCGCACGAAUGGCGUAACGACUUGUGAGCUGUCUCAACAGGAGGCCCGGUGAAAUUGAAGUAUGUGUGAAGAUGCACAUUACCCGCGACUGGACGGAAAGACCCCGUAGAGCUUUACUGUAACCUGACAUUGGAUCUUGAUAACGGAUGCACAGGAUAGGUGGGACGCUGGGAGACGAGGACUUUGGUUUUCGUGGAGCGGCCGUUGGGAUACCACUCUUCUGUUAUUGAGAUUCUAACCUCAAGCCGUGAGCCGGAUGAGAGACAGUGUCAGGCGGACAGUUUGACUGGGGCGGUCGCCUCCGAAAGAGUAACGGAGGCGCCCAAAGGUACCCUCAGAAUGGAUGGAAACCAUUCGAAGAGAGCAAAGUCAGAAGGGUGCUUGACUGCGAGACCAACAAGUCGAGCAGGUACGAAAGUAGGGCUUAGUGAUCCGGCGGUAAGAGAGUGGAAUUGCCGUCGCUCAACGGAUAAAAGCUACCUCGGGGAUAACAGGCUGAUCUCCCCCAAGAGUUCACAUCGACGGGGAGGUUUGGCACCUCGAUGUCGGCUCGUCGCAUCCUGGGGCUGAAGCAGGUCCCAAGGGUUUGGCUGUUCGCCAAUUAAAGCGGCACGCGAGCUGGGUUCAGAACGUCGUGAGACAGUUCGGUCCCUAUCCAUCGUGGGCGAAGGACACAUGAGAGGAGCUGCUCCUAGUACGAGAGGACCGGAGUGGACGCAUCACUGGUGCAACUGUUGUCGUGCCAACGGCACAGCAGGGAAGCGAAAUGCGGAUGGGAUAAACGCUGAAGGCAUCUAAGCGUGAAGCCCACCUCAAGAAUAAGUGUCCCAUUCGAAAGAAGUAAGACCCCUGGAAGACUACCAGGUGAUAGGUCAUCGGUGAAAGAGCGGUAACGUUUGGAGCUUGAUGAUACUAAUCGGUCGAGGACUUGAUCUA